rnacentral:lncRNA from 1 species
GAGGUUCCAUUAUUUCCAAGAACAUUCAAGUAAAAAGUCCCCAAGCCACAGCCAAGUCCUGAUCUAGUGUAGAUAACCCCUAGCAGUGAACCCUGUACCCUCAAACACAAAGCAAGGCUCCGAAGAACCAGCUUCAUCUUUCACAAAAAAAAAAAAAUUUUGGUAUUAAAAGGAAGCAUUUUACUAUAUAAUAGGAGUUAAAGCUUCUGAAAAUCUUUAUCAAAAAGGAAAGAGACCACCACCACCACCACCAUCCUGGGCACAAUGAGAAAGCUUUACAAUCAAAAGCACCUUUUCCUUUUCCAUCUUUCACAAAAUUUAACAGAAGUUUCUACGCUAAGUGAAUGCCAACAUGAAGCCUGGAGAGUUGACCUCUCCCUCCCCUCCCAAUAAGGCAGGGACGUGGUUAAAAUAAUCUGCACGUGUUUUGACACCUCCCCUCCCCUGCCUAGAUGUUUCCAUGAAACCAGAGGGGCGGCCAGCAUUUUAGAAAGCCUUGCUCUCUGGAAACUUUCCCAGGCUGAAGAGGCCCCUGGAAACCUGCUCCCUCCCACAGGGCCCCUCCAGCAAGAAAGGGCAUCUAAAAGGGGCGUCAGGCCUCUCUCUGGGCUGCUUGCUCCAGAACUGAAUACCCCGUAAGAGCAGAAGAUUUGGUUUUGACACGCUUCUAAUGGUUGUCCUUCCAGCUAGUCAGGGUUUUAAGUGUUUCCCCAGUAUUUAUUUUUUAAAAUGAUGCCCUGUACCUUCAAGAACUGAAUUUCACUUUCGCAUUUUCCACUUUCGUCUCCCGGUACUAACUCCCCGGAACAGUGCCAAGGCGAGUGGCGAGGCUGUGCCUGGGUACCGGGCACUGCACUGUGCUCUCAAAGGGGGGAAUGCCUUCCCCACGGCCCACACCUCUAGAGCUUGGGAGAGUACAGCCUUCCGACUUGAACGGCCUUUUAGGUAAAAUGAUUUACUUCAAGGCAGCAAGCUCUACAUUCUACUCAGUGGGAUUUUCAAGCGGCCCUGUUGCCAGAGCCUUAAAACAGUAGAUACCGGAGUUCCCGUCGUGGCGCAUGCUUAACGAAUCCAACUAGGAACCAUGAGGUUGCGGUUCGGUCCCUGGCCUUGCUCAGCGGGUUAAGGAUCCGGCAUUGCCGUGAGCUGUGGUGUAGGUUGCAGACGCAGCUCGGAUCCCACGUUGCCAUGGCUCUGGCACAGGCUGGUGGCUACAGCUCCGAUUAGAACCCUAGGCUGGGAACCUCCAUGUGCCAUGGGAGUGGCCCUAGAAUGGCAAAAAGACACACACACACACACACACACACACACAAAACAGUAUUUGAAUUGGGCCUUAAAGAAACAGUAAGAUUUGGAUGCCAAUCAAAACUACUAUGAGAUAUCACCUUACACCAGCGAGAAUGGCCAUCAUCAAAAAGUCUACAAAUAAUAAAUGCUGGUGAGGGUACGGAGAAAAGGGAAGGAACCCUCUUACGCUGUUGGGGAGAAUGAAAAUUAGUGCAACCACUAUGGAAAAGAGUAUGGAGGUUCCUCAAAAAACUAAAAAUAAAACUACCAUGUGGUCCAGCAAUUCCUCUCCUGGGCAUCUCUCUGGAGAAAACCAUAAUUCAAAAAGAUAUGUGUACCCCCAGUGUUCAUUGCGGCACAACUCACAAUAUCCAAGACAUGGAAGAAACCUAAACGUUGACAGAGGAGUGAAUAAAGAAGAUGUGGUACAACAUAAAUACAAUGGAAUAUUUCUC